rnacentral:tRNA from 2 species
CCGCUUUUAGCUCAGUGGUCGAGCGUUGGCUUUGGAAGCCACAGGUCGGGGGUUCGAACACUCCAGGGCACA